rnacentral:lncRNA from 14 species
CCAUGGAAUGACUGGGACGGGAUGGGGCACGUGUGUCCUGCACUGGGUGUGCAGCCGUGACCCAGCCCCUGAGAAGUAGACACCCCAGGGUCGGCAGGGCACCUGGGACAAGGUCAAGAAGAAGUCGGCCGGAGCUGUGCUCGAGACACCGGCUUCCUGCAGAACCAAGAGAGUGACCCCGGCCCCAGUGGUGGGGAAGCUCUUCACGGCUGAGACGCCAAACUCGUCCUGCUCCAGUGAGGAGCAGGAUUCCUACUUUU